UGUUUUUUUUUUUUUUUUGCUUCAAUAUACCAAAUUACAAGAUUUAUAAUUGCAUAUUAUGAUUCAAUAUUUUAUUUAAUUCUUUUUUAAAUGAUUUUAUGGAAAAGUCAAGGCUUUUAAAAUGAUUUUAUUCACAAUUUCAUUUGUUUGAUCAAACUCAUUUACAUGGAAGUAAAUAUGAAAUAAUUUUAAAUUAUGGAUUUGAUAACAUCUAAAACAUUUUUGGUUCCUCAAAAGUGUUAAAUAAAUUCCUCAUAGAUUCAGGUUUUUCCAUCAAUUUUUCCAUUAACAAUCAAACAAGAGAAAAAAUUUACAACUUUUCCCUUAAAUUUUUUGAGAACCAAAAUAGUUUUAUAAUUAAGAAUUUUAAAAAAUUAUUCAAUUCAAAUUUACAACUUUUCCAUCAAUUGAAUGCCUCGAUUUUCAGGUCAGAAAAAUAGUUGCUUCUUUUAAUAUUGUCCUGUCUGUGACCUUAUCCUCCUGCUUCUAUUUUGCCAUGUAUUUUUGUUUAAUCCGUGAAAAUCUUAUAUCAUAUAUCAUUUGUAUUUGUUACAUGCAUGCCUUCCUAAUCAUUUUCUGUCAAGAGCCUCAUUUUUGUUUUAAUUAGAUCAACCAAUUUUGUGGCAUUGUAAUAAGAAAAAUUUUCUACUACAAAUGGAAAAUCAAGCCUUAGAAAUUGAAAGAUAAUUAGCUAGACAAUGGAUUCAGGAACUUUCCAUUGAUGUACUCUUCAAAUCUGCUUGUGGGGUCUCUUAGGUGAUUUAGAAGGGCUUCUACAUAUAUACUUUUAGUGUUUCAUUGAUGCUUCUACUCUUAUUGCAGAAUAAAAGAAAAUUCAGCCCUCUUAUCUGUAAUUGAGAACUGUCUAAAGCCUGGGCCAUGGAAUAAGCUCAAGCCUUUCUGUGCGGAGCAACUGGACUCUCUCAAAUUUUUCAUUGGUAAAUAUCCAAAGAGCUAUGAUUUCAAAGUCAUUAAAGAUGCCAAUCCCCGUCAGCCUCAAUCAGAGCUUAAGGAGUGUGUUAGACUGUUACCAUUGAUCGCCUAAGUCCAAAGGUAUUCUAUUCAGGGAAGAGGAAAUAGAAGAAAAUAGCAGCUCUUGAUGUAUUUUGAUUUUGAGCAAGGCUUUCUUGAUUGGGAAGGUGACUCUUCCUCCAAGGAAGAGGAUAGAUUGUUCUGAUUUUGGUAGAGUUUUUCCAGUGAAGGAAUCGGAGGAAGGGGAGAUUCCUGGGUGCUGAACUAUUGAUGUUCAUUGCUCUGUUCAAGAAGAACAAGAAACUAUUGAACACUGGCGUUGAGCUGAUGCUUCAUAAUGUGUUAUUAUAAGAGAUAGAGGCUGCCCGAGUGGUCUGAAUAUACCCCCACAGUCCCUCUGAUGCCUGAGUGUUCAAGUCUGGUUGUUUACUGCAUUCUUCAUGUAGGUACACAAGUCAUCGGGCACCUCCAAAAAGGAAGCUUGAUAAAGAGCAAUUGUGCAUAAACUCAUACACCAGAAGUCAGUGUUCACCCUCACAGCAGUAACCCAGCAAGUGUCGUAGAUUCUUAUGCAACAGAAUUUCCAGAACCUGAUGGUAAUAUCCCUUUAUAGACAGUGCCAAAGGCUUCUACCAUCGCUUGUACUCAGGAUUCUGUGAUAAAGCUGCAGAUUUUUGAGGUUCAAGCAGUAGAAAACUAGAGAAUUGCAACGAAGAAGUGAAGAAGAACAGAGGGGCCCAGGACUUAGAGGAUUAGAAUUGCUUUAUUUUGCUUGCCUCUGCCUGAAGUUAGUUCACUGGACUUCAAUAUCUUGAUUAGGGCACUUCUGGCAACAGCAGUUUGAUCCAACCUCCCAUUUGAAAGAGGUAGUCUUAUCCUCCAACAGCUUCCAGUUCCAUUUACAAACCUCAGGUCCUCAAAAAUAGCAACUGCACAGUAGGUUCCAACACCCAAUCCCUGGGUUGGCAAUAUGGUAUUAGUUGGGUGGUUGAAGCUCUCCAUAUACUGGUAUUCAAUUUCCAUCUCCAAGCAUGGCACCAUGCACUGCUUCGCUGCUCAUAUUACCAGUCUUUGUCUUCCAUAUCUCUUGGCCUCCAAGGAGAACAAGCUGUCCAUUGGUGGUAAGCUCAACUUUUGAUCCUCUUGGCACCGGUUAACUUCCAUUUGCAGUCCAGAUAGCAAGAAGGAAUAGAUCCUUUUCACUUGGAGAGGGUCGGAAUCCAAAUGCAAAAUCACCAGAAGGCGAAGUCCAUGUAGAGUUGGCAUCAGUGGUAUAGAGAGAUGAAUCCAAGCUUAUAUUACUAUAAGCUUGGCUGAUGAGUAACAAGUAGACGUAGAGAGACUAUGUAUGUAAGUUAUCAUGUAAAUAAUUGGUCACCCAACUGGUUUUCUCUGCAUGUUGAGUGAGUUGAAAAAGUCCAGUGAAUAUUAUUUUCUUCCAUAAUUGAACAUUCUCCCGUAA